GACAUAGGUGGCGAACGUUAUCCGGAAUUAUUGGGCGUAAAGGCUGCGUAGAUGGUAGAAUAAGUUACUGGUCGAUGCCAAACUCAAUUUGGCGGAAGCCGAUAAUACUGUUCUACUCGAGGGCAGGAGAGGUUGUUGGAAUUCUGUGUGGAGCGGUGAAAUGCCUUGAUCUACAGAGGAACACCAAAAAAGGCGAAGGCAAUCAACUAUUCUGUUCCUGACAUUGAGGCAUGAAAGCGUGGGGAGCAAACCGG
rnacentral:rRNA from 1 species